GAUGAACGCUGGCGGCGUGCUUAACACAUGCAAGUCGAACGGGAAACCUUUUAUUGAAGCUUCGGCAGAUUUAGCUGGUUUCUAGUGGCGGACGGGUGAGUAACGCGUGGGUAACCUGCCCUAUACAGGGGGAUAACAACCAGAAAUGGUUGCUAAUACCGCAUAAGCGCACAGGGCCGCAUGGUCCGGUGUGAAAAACUCCGGUGGUAUAGGAUGGACCCGCGUUGGAUUAGCCAGUUGGCAGGGUAACGGCCUACCAAAGCGACGAUCCAUAGCCGGCCUGAGAGGGUGAACGGCCACAUUGGGACUGAGACACGGCCCAGACUCCUACGGGAGGCAGCAGUGGGGAAUAUUGCACAAUGGGGGAAACCCUGAUGCAGCGACGCCGCGCGAAGGAAGAAGUAUCUCGGUAUGUAAACUUCUAUCAGCAGGGAAGAUAGUGACGGUACCUGACUAAGAAGCCCCGGCUAACUACGUG
rnacentral:rRNA from 1 species